AACAGAACAAGGGAAGCUGACGUGCAGUAGUCAUCCCUUGUGCCAUUGCUGGGGAGGGCAGAACGGCUGGGUUCUCCACACCUACUGGAGGCUUGCUGAGGGAGGCCCUGGUUCUAAAUGUGGCCGUGCUGAUUGUCCUUAACCCUGCAUCUUGCUGGCGACUGAGGAGUUUGUGAGGAUCCCAGGCCGUUGCUGAUGGCAAGCCUAAGCGAAUGCCAGUGCAAGGUGGGGGUUGUGGUGUUCUCAGGACACGGAGCAUCUGUCUGCAAUGUAGUCCUGAUUUACAGUGAUGGAAGUGAAAGGAGAUUCAGGCUCACAGUGCAAGUGAGAAUCCUCUGUGUUAUUCCAUGGGGUUUGUGCCUCUUGUUGAAACAGCCAUGGGGUCUGCAGAAGACCUGGGCAAUCAAAGCUUAUAGAAGGUAAGGUAAAGAGAUGACUUGAUUGUGCUCUAAAAGUACCUAUGCAGGGAGAAGAUUUGGGGAGGGGCUUUUUGAUCUAGCAGACAAGGGCAUAACAUGAUUCAAUGGCUGGAGGUUCAAGCUAGACAAAUUUGGAGUGGAAAUAAGGUGCAAAAUGUUAACAGUGAGAGU